rnacentral:rRNA from 1 species
GACGUAGGGGGCCAGCGUUGUUCGGAAUUACUGGGUGUAAAGGGUUCGUAGGCGGUGUAGCAAGUCGGGUGUGAAAUCUCCGGGCUUAACCCAGAGGCUGCUUCCGAAACUGCUGUGCUUGAGUGUGGGAGAGGCGCGUGGAAUUGCAGGUGUAGCGGUGAAAUGCGUAGAUAUCUGCAGGAACACCCGUGGCGAAAGCGGCGCGCUGGACCACUACUGACGCUGAGGAACGAAAGCUAGGGGAGCAAACAGG